GAACGCAAAUUAGAAAGCUACUGGAAAAAUGGAGGGAGAGGAAUAAAUCAUAUACGUAUUAUUUAUGAAAAAAAAAAUAGCGUGAAGUAAUGACGAAGUAUUUGCGAUUUCAUGACUUUGCAAUCGAUAUCUGGAUAUCUGUCGUUUGAAAAAAAGGCAGGCAAGGUCGGCGAAGGUGAUGAUUGCAAAAUGACGCUUGCACGGUUCCCGGGUUCGAUUAUCGAAUCAGCUCGCUUGCGAUCUCGACCUUGCAUGCGAAACGAGGAAAAGAAGGGACGAUCGAUUUAAAAUUUCUUCUAUCCAUUACUUUUUUCCCUUUUCCCCCGCCUUUUCCCCGCCUUGUUCAUGCUCUUUAUUUUCAACUAACUUUUUUAGUCACGCAUUCUUGAACCAUUACUCGCACAUUAUUUUUACAAUGAAAAAUAGAGAAAUCGAAAUUACCGUUCAAAAAUCAAAGAAAUAUCGAUUAUCAAGUAUCCACUUGGUCAAUUCCAAGCGAAUUUCAGAACUGCGAAGGCGAAUCGAUUAAUAACAAUUUCAAUUUCUUCGCUCAAUUUUUCCCUCCCCCCUGGUUUACAAAAGAAGAAGAAAAUUGUCCCGAGUAAAAAGAAAAAUAAUAAAUAAAUAAAAUCCUCCUCCACGCCCACUAAUCGAUUCCACGAAACGUGAAACUCUUGCGAAUCUUGCGAGCGCGACGCGUGAUUCGCGGAGAGUACUAUGAAAUCAUUUCAUAGGGGAAAUGGCUCUCCGGGGACAAAGCGGAGGGAAAGCAGAGGUAGUGAUUCGUCAUACGUCUCGGUGUGGCCGGAUCGUGAAAUAUCGCGUGGCACGGCAGUCGCUCAAGGUGGCGUGCGCAAAUGUAGAUGCACCUGCAGUUAAUAUCGGCAGGUGUGCGGGCAUGCACGCGAAUGUACGUAAAUACUGAUCCGCUAGAAUGCAGCUGUGUGUUUUUAAAACGAGACCGCGAAUGGAGGAGAACACACGCGGACCGAGCGUAGCCCGGAAGUGUUAGAUCGGUGUUCCGUUUAAAUCAUGGCCGAUCUCGAACAGACCGUGACUUGGCCCCAAUCGAACCGUGAAAUGUGAAACAGCCUGUUGGGAACCGCGAAUUUUUUUUUUCUUUUUUUUUUCCAGUUUUUGACCGUGGAUGGAUGUAUAAAGUGUUUUCGAAACGGUUGAAACUUUUGUUCCCCUCUCUUGUUCCUUUUCUUUUCUUUCUUUCUUUUUGAGAUACUUGUUUAGAUAGUUUGGAUUUAUAGUGAGCUUUAAUCCGCGUUUAUAAUUCUUUUUGUGCUCGAUGGUGCGUGCAUAUAUGUAUCUAUGUGAAAUUAAUUUCAAUGUUUUUUUUUUUGAAUGAGUUUUAAUAAAGUGUUUCUAAAAUAAAUUGGCGUUAUUUUAAUUAAAUCGUGGCAUGGAUCGUAUUCGGUUCAAUCUAGGCGCGAAGUCUAAUGUUAGUUUCAAACUUGUAAAAUUAUUAACUCGAAAUGUAAAUUAGCAUAAUUGUUACAGUUGAAUGAACAGUUAAGUUUGAGUAAUUAUUAAAAAAAGAAGAAAAAAAUGUCACGUCGAAAUUAACAGUUUUCACAUUGCAUUGAUUAUACAAAUGUAAUUAUUGAUUAUCAAGGAAUGCAUGCAUAAUGGACUAUCAUUCUUUUUUUUUUUAUCAUAUGAGAAUGUUUUUCGUAUUAUUUUAUUUUACAAUCACGAAAUUUCUCAUUUUAUACUUUUCUUUAAUUUAAUAUUUCGAGACAAGAUUCCGUAACCCACUUACAGAAGAGGAUUAUAUUAUUAUUCUUACAUGAUGAGGAAUUGCAUAAUUGAAUUAUAAUUAGAAUAGUAGGGCAGAGUAACAAAUCAAGAAGUCGGAGAAGAGAACGAAAUAAGUAGGGUAAAGUAUUCUGCUUGUACUUUUUUUAUUUACAAUCGAUUGUUAAGUGGAAAUUAAUAUUCGAGAAAGAGAGUGAAAUCGUUAAAGGAAUUUCUUUAAGAGGAGCGUAAUAAUGUUGUUUUAAUUUCUAGAACACGUUCAACGAGUUUUACUAAUGACUUUCAUGGGUCACUGAUGACCUAUGCAAGAUUGGACUGACCUGACAUAAUCCGCCUACUUUAUAUUUCCUCUGGUUAUUUGGAAAAUGACCUUCAAUGACUUUUAAAUAACCUUUACCAAUCCCCUUCAAAGUUAAUGCUAUCCAUUACAAAAGAGAACAGAAGUGAACAGAAUUUAGAAGAUGAAAAGACUGAUUUGUUGAACCGAAGAUGAUCUUCGACACGUUAGAGUUGAAAAGGAUUUAAAAGAUUAACUUUUUAUUGAAUGAUGAUGAUUUUCAAUGAUUAAUAUUAAUCCUAUUCUAUUUUUUUAUAAAGCUUCAAAUUUCAAGAAUGAUAAAAAGAAUCAUAAGAGAAUGGAAAUAAUUAUCAAGUUCAUUAAAAAAAUGUAUUCAAAAAUCGACGAACUUGACUGAUUAUUCGAUAUUGACUCUGUUUUAUUUAUCUUUUAAAACUAUUACAGAAGAGAUAAAAAAAAGAAGAAGAAGAAAAAUAGAAUUAUUUUUCAAAAAUUGUAAAAUACAUUAAAAGAUUAAAAGAUAAUUGAAAAGAAUUUUGUACAAUCUCGACUGUUUUUAUUUCAUCGUUCUUGAAACUUCAAUUACGAUAGAAGAAUAACAGAAAAGAGAGAUUAAAAAAGUUUGAAAUAUCAACAAAUUCCUUAAAAACUUAAAUGAAACUGAUGCUUUGAUCAAUCUUGUACGAUCGAGUCCAUUUUAUCAAUUCUAGAAACUAGAAUUCCAAGAAUUCUAAAAAAAAAAAAAACAUUAGAAAAAAAUAGAAAACUUAUCUUAUCUAUCUUUAAAGAAUUUAUAGAUAUCAAAAAAUUAAAUAAAAGAUUAACUAAAGAAAAAAAACAAAAACGAUGUUCAACAGAUUUUGAACAACUUAUGUCGAACAAAUUAUAAUCCUAUCUUUCUUUUAGGUUAACAAUUUCACAAAUUGUAUCACAUAGAAACGAGGAAUUACAAAACAACGUUUAAAGAAUAUUAAAAAUCAAGGAAAAAUGAAAUUUAACGUCCUUGAAGCUUGGAAAUCACACGUUAAAAUCUGCGUAACUUCACGAAUGGAACGCCACCAGUAGUGCUUUCACUUCUCUACCUCUCUCUGCUCAACUUUCGCGUAACGAUCCUUCCUUUUUUUCUUUCUUUUCCCUCAUUUACUUGAUUACGUGAACACGGUGAAAUUUCGUCAAACAUACAUGUAAGUAUACCACUGAAAGAGCCUUCAUGUUCCAGAAAAUCACAACGUACCUUUUGUUUUCUCUCUCGUUCACGUGAAAAACAAACGAGACGAUUUCGAUGCAAAGCGCGACACGAGGGUACAGAGUACGGAUUUUGUUAAUUGUGUAAAAAUGUAUUACGUAUCGGUUUACCGUGUAAACUCGCGGGAAUACCUUGCAAAAUUUUCCUCGUUCGAAGUUGGAGAGAGAAAAAAAAGUAUUCUCGUAUUUCCACUCGUGUAUACGUUGUAUCGACAGGGUUGAAAACAGGGUUAUUAUAUCGAUUUUUAUUCGUAACCUUUUCACGCUACGGUAUUCUUAGAAUUGAAUUUUUUUUUUUCCGUACAGAUUGAAACUCUUUUGCUAAUACUGAGAGAGAGAGAGAAAAAAAAGAAGAACAUACGUUACAAUGCGUAUAAAUAGAGAUAAUUUUAUGUAUGAUUUUUAUUAUAGAGGAUUUAUAAACGUAUGUUUAGCAAUUAAUUAUACGUUCUCAAAAUAGAAAUGUUCUCAAACGUUACAAACGUUAUAUAGAAUAAGAGGUCGAUGUGAAAUAAAAACGUACGUGUAAUUUUCGAUAUUCUAUACAGAUGGCGCAACGAGAGAAUUAAAGUAUAAAUUAUAUUUUAUAUAUAUCACAAAUUCAAGUUCCGAAAUAUGGGACAAUCAAUUGACGAAAUUUAUUUAGAAGAUUUUUACUAAUUCUUCUUUUUUUUUCCAGAUAUAAAAUGUUUCUAUUCGAAUUAAUAUAAUCUACAUAUACAUAUAUACGCUAAUUAUCAUCAGGAUACGCGUAUCCGCAAUACAAAAAUAAUAGAAGAACUCGAGAAUUUUUAUUCACUGUAUACGCCAUCGCGUGGCAACAGAUGUUUGCCAGGGCUGUUUAAAUAAUAAGUCUUAUACGAUUAUACGAUAAAACAUGGAUCGAAUUAUCGAAUUAAGAAGAGAGGAUGGGGAAAAGGAGCAUUUAUAAAGAGAGAGGAUAUUUCAAUUAAAAGUAACAAGCAUCUCCAUACUUUUUAAAUAACGAAAUGCACGUUUAAAACGUUUUUGUUCUCGAAUCGUAUUUCCACACGUGUGUCAAUAAUAAAAUCGUGUCGCGCGUGCUCGUGUCGAGGGCGCGAUAAAUCGAUCGAAUUUUCGCCUCAAAGUUAAAAGGGUUUCCACGUGAAAUUAACACGCGGGGGUCCUUCGCGAGCGUCCCCGGCCCUGACUGCCAGCCGAGAAUCCAUGUCAAGGUAGUAGAAGCAACCACGAGCAAACUCGAGUACCGUCCACGCGCCUCCCUCAAUCUGGAUUACUGUUCAUGGAUUCGAACGCGUCUUCGACCACUUGCUAAACGCGCUCUUCACACUUUUCGUCAAACGUCACCAAGGAUAUAUACGUGGCGAUAAUUAAAGAUAUCUUAAACAUAUUCCAGAUAAAUGCAAUUUAAAUGUCUCGAAUUUACGUAUGCGUUUACCUAUCAAUUUUAAUGGGAUAACAAAAACGUAAAGGAUAGAUUUUUAAAAUUUAAAACAAUUUUUUUUUUAAGAUUGAAUAACAGAAGGAGAAAAAUUCUAAGUGAUGAUGAACAACCAAGUGUUGAUCCGUCCUCUUUCUUAUAUUAUAACAUAAUACCCAUUACCAUGGAUGAAUGAUUUUAAGGAAAUUCUGUUUCGAAAGGACAGGAAAGUCCACUUUGAAACCAUGAUGUAACGUAUUGCAUGAUUAAGGAAAAAGCUUUACCCGAUUAAGAUCUAAAGCGAUCUGGAAAAAAAAAAUUUCAGAGGGGAAAGACGAUGGAGGAAAGAUUUCUCGGCCUCUUUCUAUAUUUAGACCCUCCUCUCGAUUUUAAUUUCGGAAUAUCGUCUCGAUGUGAGGAAUUCAGCCGUCUCCUAAACCUCUAAAUCGAGACGUUUAACGCAAUCAUUCUCUCUUACUCGCGAUUGAAUCGUGCACCGUCGUAUUUAUCGUUCGAAAAAAAAGAUAAUUGAUUGAAAAAUUAAUCUUCUUCCCUUCUAACCACUUCCUCUUUUGUUUGGAAAGGAUUUUUCGACGGAACAGAAAAAAAAAAGAAAAAUAGAGAGAUGCAGAAAUACAGAGCACAGGGGGAGGGAGAAAGAGAGGACAAGAGAGAAACAGACCUUUAUAGAAAAGUAAAAGGUGAAACACAGAACUACAAAAAAAGAAAAGACACUACUUUUCACGCGCAAACGAGUAUUUCGAGUUUUAUCGUUAACUUUCAACGCGACACGAGGCUCCUGGUAUUAAACAAAUAAAUAAUUAUUUAUCAUAUCGACGCUUUCUUUUUUAAUGAAAAAAUUGUAUUUUUAAAAUCGUCGAUCGUUUUUUCAUUUAUUAAUAUCAUUACGCCUCGCAUUGCCACGAACGCGAUUAAUUCUUUACAUAUUAUCUGGCGUGCUCGUGUCGUAUCUACAAUGCAAAUUUUCUAAAACUGGAAUAAUUAGAAAUAUAAAUAACUUUAACUCGAGGAAAUAAUAAUAAUAAUAAUAAUAAUAAUAUUUUGUAAAUUUUAAAGAGGAUAGUGAACGAGUAAAAAUAGAAGGAGCGAUAAGUAAAUGAAUAUCGAUCCGCGUAACGUAAGAAAAAUAAAUGUCCCGUUAUCACGCGAAAUUCGCGAGGUACGAAGAGGAUACGAAACUACUACUACUACUACUAUUAUUACUAUCGAAAGAUACGUGAAAGUUACGAGAGCGCGUGGAAACCAACACCACGAUGCAUCUUCAAAGGGUGCAUGCGAAGUUGAAGGUGAAGGGUAGUCGGCCAACGCAGUCCCAACGCCAUUAAAACACUUUCACAAAGGUGAUUUAUGAUUCCAUCGGUUGAAGUCUGUUCACCCCGCGCGGUGAGCACACAAAAUGGAUAGCGCAUUCACCGUUUUAAUAUGCAUAUAGGUAUUGUUAGUAGGUUCCUUGACCACGCGUGUCUCUCCAACGAAUCGAAGAGUCUGCAGGAAAUCUAUAUCACUGUCAUCGGAUAUCUUGGUGAACGUACAAGCUGAUUAAUUCAAAUGUAAAAUUACCGAGAAUACAACUGGGAAAUGUAUAUCGGGUAUAUCGGGUUUAAAUUUAUUUCUUUACUUUAUUCGUGAAUUGAUUAGAUUUUGGAAGAGAAAGGUUUUCUUAAAUUGAUAUUUAUCCUUGGAUUAUAUCCUUUGAUUGAAAUUCUAAAAAAUAUCGAGAAUUAAUUUCUAAGAAUUAAUUCAUCCUCUCCCCGCUGCUUUUAAUUUGAAAUAAAAUUAUUUCUAAAAAACAUUAUAAUUGAGCCAAGGGGUUUUAUAUUGAAAGAAAUUUCUUUUUUCUUCUUUUAUCCCUUCCUCUUUCUUCUCAUCAUCGUCAUCAGCAACAUCAGUUGUUAAAUAACAGUGUGUCGCUUAUCGUUUAGCAACUAUUUCACGCGAAAUGGUGCUUAUCACCGUGUUGUGUAUUUACAAAUAGCCGAAUCAAAUUUUAGAUACACGAUAGGAACGAUAACAAGUUUGUCACACGUUUCAGUUCUCAUGGUGAAACUUGUGAAGCAUCAUUGAAAAUAAAUUGAAUCGCGCCAAAGGUUUUUAUCACUGGAACGUAAGUGAAUGGUGGCGAUGAUACUUUCCUUUUUUUUUUUUUUCCCUUUGUAUUUUUACGUUCGAAAUUUAAUUUUCACGUUGCACUAAAUAAUAUAAUUGAAAUCCAUUUUUAGGUAAAGGAGAAAUUUUCGUAGAUAUAUUAUUUUGUACUCGCUCGUUUUGUUAAUCAAAAUCGAUGGUAUAAAUGUUCGUGACGAGAAUGAUCUUCUUCUUUCUAUCUCUUCUUUUUUUAUUCAGAAUUUACAAAUAGCAGUUUAAGAUAAACCAAAAGAACGAUAGCUUAUAUUUAUUUUACACAUGUAAUCGUUCUUUUUUUCUCUCUUUUUUUUUCCUUUCUUUCAAAAUUUAUUCCAAAUUUUUUAAUACACUAAUUUUCAUUUGAUCAUUAAGAUCAAAGACGAUUUUGAUUUAAAAAAAGUGACACGUGUCGUUUCAUUCUUACAAUAUGUCGUAUAUAUCUUUUCAAGUUCAUCAAGGAAAAAUGUGGAACAUUCCUUUUUUUUUCUUAAUCACUGUAUUUCUUUUUUUUUUAUUCAGAAACGAUAAUAAGACUCGUGAUACGAAUGACGUAGAUAUUCAAAGUGUUGUCAUUUGAAAUGAGAACGAAACGAUGCAAGCCAUACGUAAAAGCAUGUAAUUACAUUUUCAUAUUCAAAUCAAAGAUCAAAAAAAUAAUAAUGAUAUAACCGUAACAUGAUAAUAAAACUCGUUUAUACUUCUUUAAAAAUAUAAUUAAAAAAAUUCAAUUUAUUUUGUAAAGAAAAUAUGUUAUGUUCUAUAAAAAUAUAAUUAGAUUAGUUGAGAAAUUAGUUUUAAAAAUACAACUAGAUUAAUUAUACUAUUCAAAUGAGUCAUUCGCACGUAGAAUAUAAUUAACCUAAUUUUUUUAUCAAUCAUUUAAAAUCCACUCUAAUUUCUAAGAAGAUAUAUAUUUGUAUAUAAAUUUUUUUUAUCUUCUCAUCAAUAUAAAUUUUCAAAUCCUAUUAGAAAUCAAAAGUUGAAGAAUAACGUGUGAAAUUUUGGAUAAAGGUUUAAAAUAAUACAAGCAGAGAGAAGAAAAGGAAAUUAUUCAAACUCGAAUACGAAUGUCAUAAAUAAAUAAUUAUUUUACCACAACUAAUAUCUCAAUAAGCUCGAUUAUUAGCCACGCUAAUGGAAAAAAACCUGAAAUCAGCCUUCUUUAACAAGACACAGUUGCAAGCAUAUUGCUGUGUAUUAUCAUCGAUCGUUUAAUAUCUGUUUAGAAAUAAGCGUAUCGUCCCGUUGUUCCUUGACAAUAGUCGUCCCACUGUGCCGCAUAUAAAUCAGAGAAGGGAAUAUAUCGCGUGAUAUUAAGUGCACGUGUAGUUGGCUUUCGUCUGGCGAAAGAAAGUAGUCGAUCCCGUUACGAAAUAGCGAGUGAAUGCCGACUAUCUGGGUCAGACAAAAGCGGAACUUCCGCGACUAUGCUCGAGGGCUGUCGAAUCGUUUAACCUGGGAAUCGCGUAAAAAUUGAUCGUAUCUUGGUGCCGUUCUAAAUAUUUUCACUGUAUCACCGUAUAUUAAAAAAAAAAUUGAUAAGAAAUUCCAGUUAAAACCCGAUUAGAGUCUUGGUUAAAGAAGCAAUCCAUCGUUGUACAAAAGUAGAGGAUAUGUGAAUUGGAUAUCGAGCAGAUCGAAUUGCGAAUAAAUUGUAAAAAGGAAAGUUUUUUUCUCGUUGAAAUUAUCGACAAGAGAUAAGAGAAGAACAAGUGACACGUGAACAUUUUUGAAUUUUUUAUCCUCCUCAUCGACAACAAUUACAAUUCCUUAAUGUUUUCUUCGUAUAUUUAUUCUUCGAGAAAAAAUAUGAAUUCUUAUAACAUUUUUAUAAUAGAAUAAAUUUCCUUAUUGAUAAUUUCCUUAUUGAACCGUUUUGAGUGAAUAAAAAUUAAGAGAUCGUAAAAUAUAUAUAUAAACAAUUAACUUUGUAGAUACGUAUUUUUAAUAAUAUACUUUUAAUCUUUCGUCCUAUUAUAUUGACAAGAGAAUUUCUAUUUAUAUAUAAGGUAAUUAUCCUUUUUAGAAACAAUUAUUGAGGAAGUACCGUAUUGUUCGAUCGUUUAUCUGCAAGUGACCGUGGCUUUACGACAAACGAAGGUUUUUCGACAAUUUUUAAGAGGCCGGAACAUAAAAUGGCCGUGUACGCUCUGCUUGCAGUGGCACAACCGUUAUUUGAUACGGUACUGUGCCUUACGUUACACGCAUUCCUCCGUUUGCCUCGUCGUCGCCAGGUAAAUCGUGCACGUGUAACUCCACACGUGCCUCCUCCAGUGGUGUUUCGCCAUACGCACGCAACUAUUACCUUGAUUAAUUAAAAUAAUAUAAUGAAAAUGUAAUGACUGAUCGGGACACGCCGAUGCAAGUUAUUUUGCAAACCAUUUUCUUACAAAGAGAAAACAAUAUGAAUAAUAUCAUAGUAUAGGUUAUGAUCGAUAUUCGAAUAAAAGGAUAUAUACGCAA